UCUUUGCCUGGGGUUGAGUGGCUCUAGUUUUCUGCCUUUCUUCCCACCACUCUGGGUACCCCAAUCGCUUGAAGCAUGUCUCAUAGGUGUGCUUCGGUCUCUGGCAGUGAGUGCACCAGAGAUUUGAUUUGUCUGGCCGGUUCCCUGGUCGGCCGGUAGCUCCGGGGCGUUGAAGUCGAUCCCGAUGUGGCGGACGGUUGCUCUGAGCAGCAAGCCCAUGUCCAAUAUCCCCAAAUGAUGACUCGGUAUUCACACCGUCGGCAUCUACAACGGGUGGAGACGACGCCGGUGGCAUGAUACGACGUCGAGCCGCCUCCGUCUUCACCCAUCCGUAGGCUGCCUCGACUGAUGGGGUCGGUUCCUCCUUCAAGAUGUCCCUCCGAAUUGAAUCGUACUCCUGAUUCAAUCCAGUCAGAAAUUUAAUCAAUCGUUUCUCGUUCGAAUCGUAGAUAUGGUACUUGUCUGCCCUGUUCUCAAAUGUUACAGCGAGGCUGUCCCAAAGUGCUUUCGAUGUUAGAUGGUGGGCGAAAUCAGCGACAAUGUCAUUCUCGAUGUUGUCUACAAUCCAAGAAAAUACCACCAAGUCGUCUUCUUCCCAAUCAUCGUAUCCUUUGCUUCCUGGUUCUGGGGGGUUGUUCCUGAUGUGCGAAUAAGCACCUCGCCCUCCGAUCUUGACUUUUAUAAGUCUUGACCACAGUGGGUUCUGGUUUUCUGAUUUGGUUAUGGGCUAAAAAAGGGUCGAGAAAAGGUAUAAUCAAAAAAGGUCGAGAAAGGUAUAAUUUGGCUAUGAUGAAGAUUUUCUGAGCCAAGAAUCGUUCCUGCUCAUGAUACCAUGAUAAAUAUCGGUAAAGGGAAUUCUAUAUUUCAUUGAUAUAUGACUUUGUACAUUAGACAUUAUUAUAUAGGCUUAGGAAAAACUAUA